rnacentral:rRNA from 1 species
AUGAACGCUAGCGACAGGCUUAACACAUGCAAGUCGAGGGGCAGCACAGGUAGCAAUACCGGGUGGCGACCGGCGCACGGGUGAGUAACGCGUAUGCAACUUACCUAUCAGAGGGGGAUAACCCGGCGAAAGUCGGACUAAUACCGCAUGAAGCAGGGGCCCCGCAUGGGGAUAUUUGCUAAAGAUUCAUCGCUGAUAGAUAGGCAUGCGUUCCAUUAGGCAGUUGGCGGGGUAACGGCCCACCAAACCGACGAUGGAUAGGGGUUCUGAGAGGAAGGUCCCCCACAUUGGUACUGAGACACGGACCAAACUCCUACGGGAGGCAGCAGUGAGGAAUAUUGGUCAAUGGCCGAGAGGCUGAACCAGCCAAGUCGCGUGAGGGAUGAAGGUUCUAUGGAUCGUAAACCUCUUUUAUAAGGGAAUAAAGUGCGGGACGUGUCCCGUUUUGUAUGUACCUUAUGAAUAAGGAUCGGCUAACUCCGUGCCAGCAGCCGCGGUAAUACGGAGGAUCCGAGCGUUAUCCGGAUUUAUCGGGUUUAAAGGGUGCGUAGGCGGCCUUUUAAGUCAGCGGUGAAAGUCUGUGGCUCAACCAUAGAAUUGCCGUUGAAACUGGGGGGCUUGAGUAUGUUUGAGGCAGGCGGAAUGCGUGGUGUAGCGGUGAAAUGCAUAGAUAUCACGCAGAACCCCGAUUGCGAAGGCAGCCUGCUAAGCCAUGACUGACGCUGAUGCACGAAAGCGUGGGGAUCAAACAGGAUUAGAUACCCUGGUAGUCCACGCAGUAAACGAUGAUCACUAGCUGUUUGCGAUACACAGUAAGCGGCACAGCGAAAGCGUUAAGUGAUCCACCUGGGGAGUACGCCGGCAACGGUGAAACUCAAAGGAAUUGACGGGGGCCCGCACAAGCGGAGGAACAUGUGGUUUAAUUCGAUGAUACGCGAGGAACCUUACCCGGGUUUGAACGCAUUCGGACCGAGGUGGAAACACCUUUUCUAGCAAUAGCCGUUUGCGAGGUGCUGCAUGGUUGUCGUCAGCUCGUGCCGUGAGGUGUCGGCUUAAGUGCCAUAACGAGCGCAACCCUUGCCACUAGUUACUAACAGGUGAUGCUGAGGACUCUGGUGGGACUGCCAGCGUAAGCUGCGAGGAAGGCGGGGAUGACGUCAAAUCAGCACGGCCCUUACAUCCGGGGCGACACACGUGUUACAAUGGCGUGGACAAAGGGAGGCCACCUGGCGACAGGGAGCGAAUCCCCAAACCACGUCUCAGUUCGGAUCGGAGUCUGCAACCCGACUCCGUGAAGCUGGAUUCGCUAGUAAUCGCGCAUCAGCCAUGGCGCGGUGAAUACGUUCCCGGGCCUUGUACACACCGCCCGUCAAGCCAUGGGAGCCGGGGGUACCUGAAGUCCGUAACCGCGAGGAUCGGCCUAGGGUAAAACUGG